GGAGCUCUCCAGCCCUUGUUUGAUGAGCAGCGGCCAAUAAAUUCAUUAAUCAUCAUUUUAUGCCUCAUCAAACCCCCUCCAAGCCCCUCCAUGGGAGUUACACAAAUUAGCCCCUGAAAAGACAGUAAUUUCAGUUUAGCGAGAAAAGAAACUGUUGGAAACACCGAAGAUCAAAAUCGGGUAACGAACUUCUCCGAGGGUUAAGGAGACAGACGUACUGAUGCUGAAGUUCUGAACUCCCGCCCAGGGGAGGGGAGAACCAGGUACCAAGCGGAUCCUACCCGGCGGGCAGGAGAGAUGGACGAGGAGCAGCGGUCCAAGCCGAACCGACUGACCAGCGCGCACCGCGGCGGAGAGCUCGAACGCCCGGCGACGCGCCCCUCCUUCAUUAGCUUCCCCUCCACGCGGCGCUGCCUCGGAAAAUAAGUUAGCAAACGGGGAGCCGUUUAUCUCUUUUAUCUUGGGGCCUGAUCCAAUUAAAUAAGUGCACAUUUACAUUUGCAUCCAUCAGGCGGGAGCACUGAGAGCCCGGGGUUUGCUCGGAGCAAAUAAAAGCAGAUUUCACUGGGAAAA